rnacentral:tRNA from 4 species
GGAGGAAUACCCAAGCCCGGCUGAAGGGAUCGGUCUUGAAAACCGACAGGAGCUUAACGGCUCGCGGGGGUUCGAAUCCCUCUUCCUCCGCCA